UGGAUGAGCAGCCUACAGUUCUAUCGUCAACCUGGUAGCCCGAUGUGAUGCUGGAGCGGUACAUGGAGCAGCGGCUGUGCGGGACCUCCACAUGCUGGAUCCCAAGGCGUGCAGGGGGUGGACUGCUCGCCCUCAAGGCCCACCGGGGCGACCUCGAUGUCUCCAUUCAAAAGCUUGUCGACAUCGCCACCCAAAGGAUAUCAAGGAGGACAGCGAGCUGAAACCUGCACAGGCUGAUGAAUCGCUCUGUUGGAAGGAAAGAAGGUUGGACAAGACUAUGCAGUGUGGCUGCUGCUUGGCUGGCGGUGGCGGUGUGUACCUUGGUGGCGGAGAAACCUGAGGUGAUUUGCCGGUCUUCCCCUUUAGUUCUUAAGCUUGUGGGAAAAAUUGAAAAUUUAUUAUUUUGACCAGUGUUAGGCCAAUUUGCUAUGUAUGGUGUGCAUAUAUUUUUAAAUGGUUUUCGUGUGGUAAAUAGCUUGAGCUGGACAUGAAUCUAGGUGCUGUACCUGGAA